AUGAUGCGUUGAUGAAUUAUGAAUCUAAUCACAUGUCAGACUUCAGAGGUUCUUCGAAUCAAUGAGAUUACAAUUCAUAAAUCUGAGCAUAU
rfam:Helianthus annuus linkage group 6, whole genome shotgun sequence.